UAGAGUGAUCAACUAUUCUGGUUUGUCCAGAACAUGAGACCUUCAGUACUAAAAUUAGGCAAGUCCCAGGCAAACAGGGAUGAGUUGUUUACUUCAAAUUUUA
rnacentral:miRNA from 1 species